UACGUAGGUGGCAAGCGUUGUCCGGAUUUAUUGGGUUUAAAGGGUGCGUAGGCGGCCCUGUAAGUCAGUGCUGAAAUAUCCCAGCUUAACUGGGAGGGUGGCAUUGAUACUGCGGGGCUAGAGUACAGAUGAGGUAGGCGGAAUUGACGGUGUAGCGGUGAAAUGCGUAGAUAUCUGGAGGAACACCGGUGGCGAAGGCGGCAUCCUGGACCAACACUGACACUGAGGAGCGAAAGCCAGGGGAGCAAACGGG
rnacentral:rRNA from 1 species